UACGUAGGGUGCGAGCGUUGUCCGGAAUUACUGGGCGUAAAGAGCUCGUAGGUGGUUUGUCGCGUUGUUCGUGAAAACCUGAGGCUUAACCUUGGGCGUGCGGGCGAUACGGGCAGACUGGAGUACUGCAGGGGAGACUGGAAUUCCUGGUGUAGCGGUGGAAUGCGCAGAUAUCAGGAGGAACACCGGCGGCGAAGGCGGGUCUCUGGGCAGUAACUGACGCUGAGGAGCGAAAGCGUGGGGAGCGAACAGG
rnacentral:rRNA from 1 species